UAAUGGGUAUUUGCGCCCGUUUCUGAUUUCUUAUGCUACUGUAUGGAACUUGGUCCCCAUCUUCUAUUUUGUGUGUUCUGCAGCAUCUGGAUUUGACUGUUGCCCGUCCCCUACAAUUGCCUUUUGCUGGGUUCGCUUCAUCAAGAUGCCUUUUCAUCUCAUUAAAUUCCUAAUAAACGGGGACAUUGCUGUUGUCCCAAAUGAAUGGUACGAUGACGGGAUGGCGUACUGGCCCAGCUAUAAAAGCACUGAAAGGGUGAAAAGGGCAGCUCUUAAUGAGGAGAAACCAGAGCCAAACUGGCUAAGAUACGACGUCAAUGUUGUCCGAACUUGUGACAACUACAAAGAUGCCAUGAGAAUCUUGAAGCAGUAUCAGAAUGGCUGCAACACCUCAGAUCUGCAAUCUGAGGCAGAGCUUGAGCAUGAGGUUGAGCUGCCAGAUAAAAGGAACAGGAAGCCAGUCCAUCGUUUCGGAGACUCUGACCAGAGCGAAGAAGAAGUGGAAAAUGGUGACGUAGUGUCUCAGUUCGAAGCACUACCAGUUCAAAGCCCAAGCCAAUUGCAGA